UAAAAAAAAAACUCUGAGGUUUCGUGUCAACGUUUGACUGUCUGUUUUAUAUGAAAUUUUUCUAUAAUUAGUAUUUUCAUUGUUGUUAGAUAAUAAAACAUGAUUAAUAAUUUAUGCAUGACUUAUCUUUUUAAUUUUUUCAUAAUUUUUUUAAAUAAGACGGACAGUCAAACGUUGGACACGAAAAUCAGGGUUUGUCUUUUU
rfam:Oryza nivara chromosome 1, whole genome shotgun sequence.